GAUUAUUCUGCAAGAGGGAUUGAAACGUCAUCCUUUUGAUAAAAGAUAUAGUGAAAAGCCCGGCCCGAA
rnacentral:misc_RNA from 1 species